ensembl:lncRNA
GUAGCACGAGUAUGUAGUUACAGCGAUGUUGUUUUUAAAAUAUCAAAUCAGGUAAUUUUUGAGGAUUAGUGUUCAAUUACCGUUAUUUUAAAAACUUAACUUUCAGGCUAACGUUAAGUUGUAUAAACACGGGUUGCGGUUGCCUUUUUAUGUUACAUAUUGUUCUUUUUUUCACUGAUCUCAUGUUAACUAAUGUCAUAUUGAUGACUUUCAGAUAGUACAGAGACAGGCUGGUGACAAUCUCCACCAUGGUUUGCUGUGCUGCAUGGGGAUGCUCCACUCGGUCAGAGAAAUGUGUGCAGAUGUAUGGCUUCCCUGCUGACAUGGAGAGGAGAAAAAAAUGGUUGGCUCAAGUCAGCAGGAGCAAUCUAAAUAUAAAUAAAAAUUACAACAACAAAAAAAUUUGUGAGGUAAUUAUACUUAAAUUUAUUUGUACUUUUUUACAUGGAAAAUUAUUUACUAGAAAUAAGGAACAAGCAAAGCCUUGCAAAACCCAGGGAGCUGAGACUCAUGGUGAGACAUUGCAGGGAGUCAUCAGUGUUACCUAUGACUGUGAAUUUAACCACCAUGUGAUAUGUACCGUAUGUGGGUAGACAAAAAAAAAAAAAAAAAAAAAAGUUGUGUGUGGAAACUAAACUCAAGUCACUCUGCAGGCACAUUUUGAGGCAAACCAAUUUGUCAUGACCAAAAAAUUCAAGAGUAGGCUGAGACCAGAUGCUAUUUCCACAAUCUUUGUGCAUCAUCCUGUGGUCAAAAAGAGGAGGGCCCCUGCUCCACGAUGCACCCCCAGACCUGUAAACAUACAGCAAAUCGCUGCUGAUCACAGCUAUAGUAUUACAGGUAAUACAUAUAUAAUAAGUACAAACUCGUACUAGUUGAAGUAAUAUUUCUAAUUUUGAAGUGAUGUGAAAUUUUCAAUAUUUAAAAUUAGCAAUGCCAUGUAUUCUGCCUCUAUCAGUUUCAAAGGUUGAGGAAAAAAAGAAUGAGGACACUCAGAGAAGGGAAAGUGACAGUGAAGAAAUAGAGGACAUGGCUAGAGAGGAGAGACAGGGACAGGUGACACUACCCAGUCAGUCAGCAGCCAGUCAGCAUUCCAGUGAACCAUCAGCCAGUUACCUGGGUCUAUUAAAAGAGACAAGAAAAAAUAUAAAAAAAUGCAAAGGCAGCACUAAGAAAAAUAAAGAAUGAAAAUGCAGCUCUCAAAAAAAAAAAACAAUUAAAAUUAGGGACAACAUUUUAAAGAAAU